rnacentral:rRNA from 1 species
UAAGGAAUAUUGGUCAAUGGACGCAAGUCUGAACCAGCCAUGCCGCGUGAAGGAUGAAGGUCCUCUGGAUUGUAAACUUCUUUUAUCUGGGACGAAAACGGGAUUUUUAUCUCAAUUGACGGUACCAGAGGAAUAAGCACCGGCUAACUCCGUGCCAGCAGCCGCGGUAAUACGGAGGGUGCGAGCGUUAUCCGGAUUUACUGGGUUUAAAGGGUGAGUAGGUGGGCUUAUAAGUCAGUGGUGAAAUCUCCGAGCUUAACUUGGAAACUGCCGUUGAUACUAUAGGUCUUGAGUUAUCUGGAGGUAAGCGGAAUAUGUCAUGUAGCGGUGAAAUGCUUAGAUAUGACAUAGAACACCAAUUGCGAAGGCAGCUUACUACAUAUAAAUUGACGCUGAGGCACGAAAGCAUGGGGAUCAAACA